UGGGGAAUAUUGGACAAUGGGCGAAAGCCUGAUCCAGCCAUGCCGCGUGUGUGAAGAAGGUCUUCGGAUUGUAAAGCACUUUAAGUUGGGAGGAAGGGCAGUAAGUUAAUACCUUGCUGUUUUGACGUUACCGACAGAAUAAGCACCGGCUAACUCUGUGCCAGCAGCCGCGGUAAUACAGAGGGUGCAAGCGUUAAUCGGAAUUACUGGGCGUAAAGCGCGCGUAGGUGGUUUGUUAACUUGGAUGUGAAAGCCCCGGGCUCAACCUGGGAACUGCAUCCAAAACUGGCAAGCUAGAGUACGGUAGAGGGUGGUGGAAUUUCCUGUGUAGCGGUGAAAUGCGUAGAUAUAGGAAGGAACACCAGUGGCGAAGGCGACCACCUGGACUGAUACUGACACUGAGGUGCGAAAGCGUGGGGAGCAAACA
rnacentral:rRNA from 1 species